rnacentral:rRNA from 1 species
AUUGAACGCUGGCGGCAUGCCUUACACAUGCAAGUCGAACGGCAGCACGGGAGCAAUCCUGGUGGCGAGUGGCGAACGGGUGAGUAAUAUAUCGGAACGUGCCCAGUCGUGGGGGAUAACGCAGCGAAAGAUGUGCUAAUACCGCAUACGCUCUACGGAUGAAAGCGGGGGAUCGCAAGACCUCGCGCGAUGGGAGCGGGCGAUAUCAGAUUAGCUAGUUGGUGGGGUAAAAGCCCACCAAGGCGACGAUCUGUAGCUGGUCUGAGAGGACGACCAGCCACACUGGAACUGAGACACGGUCCAGACUCCUACGGGAGGCAGCAGUGGGGAAUUUUGGACAAUGGGCGCAAGCCUGAUCCAGCAAUGCCGCGUGCAGGAUGAAGGCCUUCGGGUUGUAAACUGCUUUUGUACGGAACGAAACGGCUCUUUCUAAUAAAGAGGGCUAAUGACGGUACCGUAAGAAUAAGCACCGGCUAACUACGUGCCAGCAGCCGCAGUAA